rnacentral:rRNA from 1 species
UACAGAGGGUGCAAGCGUUGUUCGGAAUUAUUGGGCGUAAAGCGCGUGUAGGCGGCUUUGCAAGUCGGGUGUGAAAGCCCUCAGCUCAACCGAGGAAUUGCACGAGAAACUGCGUGGCUCGAGUCCGGGAGAGGAUAGUGGAAUUCCCAGUGUAGCGGUGAAAUGCGUAGAUAUUGGGAGGAACACCGGUGGCGAAGGCGGCUAUCUGGACCGGUACUGGACGCUGAUACGCGAAAGCCAGGGGAGCAAACGGG